rnacentral:rRNA from 1 species
GAUGAACGCUGGCGGCGUGCCUAAUACAUGCAAGUCGAGCGAACAGACGAGGAGCUUGCUCCUCUGACGUUAGCGGCGGACGGGUGAGUAACACGUGGAUAACCUACCUAUAAGACUGGGAUAACUUCGGGAAACCGGAGCUAAUACCGGAUAACAUGUUGAACCGCAUGGUUUAAUAGUGAAAGACGGUCUUGCUGUCACUUAUAGAUGGAUCCGCGCCGCAUUAGCUAGUUGGUAAGGUAACGGCUUACCAAGGCAACGAUGCGUAGCCGACCUGAGAGGGUGAUCGGCCACACUGGAACUGAGACACGGUCCAGACUCCUACGGGAGGCAGCAGUAGGGAAUCUUUCGCAAUGGGCGAAAGCCUGACGGAGCAACGCCGCGUGAGUGAAGAAGGUCUUCGGAUCGUAAAACUCUGUUAUUAGGGAAGAACAAAUGUGUAAGUAACUAUGCACGUCUUGACGGUACCUAAUCAGAAAGCCACGGCUAACUACGUG